UGGCGGACGGGUGAGUAAUGUCUGGGAAACUGCCCGAUGGAGGGGGAUAACUACUGGAAACGGUAGCUAAUACCGCAUAACAUCGCAAGACCAAAGAGGGGGACCUUAGGGCCUCUUGCCAUCGGAUGUGCCCAGAUGGGAUUAGCUAGUAGGUGGGGUAACGGCUCACCUAGGCGACGAUCCCUAGCUGGUCUGAGAGGAUGACCAGCCACACUGGAACUGAGACACGGUCCAG
rnacentral:rRNA from 1 species